CUCACUCUGCUGGCAUCCGCCGCAGCCAUACCUGAGGCCGGUGAAUCAAGAAAGGCCCUAUUGCAAGGUACGCAAGCAUCUGGGAUUUUCCGGGUUUAUUGCAUCUGAUGUUUGCAGUCGGUUUGCUGUUCACCUUGGAUAGAUAAAUAGUUGUGCCUGCAUUUGUAGAUUAUGUGAAGAGAUCAAAGGAAAACAAAGAAAAGAAUGACAAGGAGGUAUGUGGCCUUCCUUGAACUGUUUCCUUGAUAUCCCAUCAUUGCUAAUGGAAGAAGCCUUUUAUUUUUGUUUCGAGUCAAUCUAUAUGCAUUUCUUUAUGAAAUCAUGAGCCUUUUUUCAACCCUUUGUCCCGAAAUACUUGUCGGAGAAAUAAAUGCAUCUAGAUGUAUUUUAGUUCUAGAUACAUCUAUUUUUAUACAUUUCUAAGUAUUUCUGGAUGGAGGGAGUACUAAUUUGGGUCCAUAUGCUCUCAAUUUCAUUACUUCGGUUGCUUUAUACUUGGUGUCCCUUUGCUUUUUCAUUUUUCACGAAAAACUUGAGGAUGGUUUGACCUGUGCUGUAAUUUUCUACCCUUGUCGUACAUGUUCCAGUUUGUUGGUUUUGCAGUAGAUGUCUCUGAUUUAAAUAGGGGACCUUGUGCCACCUGCAAACCAUCAUACUAGUUUAAGUCUCAAGUGAAAUCAGCUGCAGGCCUCUUCAGAAUGUUGUCAAUUUUAUCACUAUAAGUUUACUGGACUAACAGAUUGACCGAGGAGAUUUUACACCGUGGUUGCAACUAAUUGUGCUGCUGUUUUCUCAUAUAUUCCAGAGGCGGGACGCCGUUUACAAAAGGAAUUACAAGGACUAUUUCGGUUUCAUGGAAGGCCCGGUCAGAGAGAAGCCAGCGGAAGAUCUCACGGAGUCGGAGAAAGGGAUUCUCGCGUGGCUGGACAAGAACAAGUAGCUAGUGUUGAACAUGGGAGGAGCACGCCAACCAAAUAGCUGAUACAGCUUUCUCUGUAGGAAAAUUCCUUCCGCGGUGAAGUUCUCAAUGAGUUAAUAAGCUUAGCAUAUAGCACCUCACUUGCCUCUUAAACCUGGUGCAACUUGUUCUGUUUCAUCAUUGUCAUCUCAUCUGUGCAGUAGCACAAAUCUUUGCUUGAUCUGACAGUAUGUUACAUUUUUGUAAAAUCAGAAAAAAAACAUAAAAUGGAUACCAUUUAUAUAUACAUUUGUACUAUUAUUUUGUACAGUUACCUGACAGUGGACAAGAGAACUUUUCUCUUGCUCUGUACAUUUUCUUUUUUAAUCAGAAUGUAUUACUAGAAAUUUGUUGCGGAAAUGUCGAGAUAAAGGCAAGAGAAGUAAUUCAAAUAUGUGGUCUAAGAAAAAUAAAAAUAAAAUGCAGAUACCAGAAAGGCAAAAAAUGUUAAAUGGAAGAAGGUAUAAAUAUCAAACAGGCUGAGGUGUGACUUGUCCAAAACCCAAGCAGGACUGCAUAUUGUCUUUUUUUUGGAAACAGAGGACUGCAUAUUGUCAGAUUUGCCCCUGUGUGUUUCCAUCCAGAGAAAAACCUGUGGCCUUGGUCCAUUCCAGGAUUUCAUCAUAUCAUAUCAAGUAGCAGCAACCUGGCGACGCUUCCAUGUAGGAAAUCAAGAGAGCAAACUCAUCUCAUCCCAUGGCUCAGCCUCCAGGUAAGCUGAUGGACACAAUCAGAAGGCCGGUCACAGCAGCUUCAUCUCUUGGCCAAUCAGCGGCAAAUCAUCUCCAGCCACUGGUCACAUUGGCUCAGAGGAAUGGAGUUAACAGGAGGUGCCUCCUCACUCUGCUGGCAUCCGCCGCAGCCAUACCCGAGGCCAGUGAAUCAAGAAAGGCGCUAUUGCAAGGUAUGUAAGCAUCUGGUCCAAUUUUCAGGGUCUAGUAUUUGUGGUCAGUUUGCUGUUCACGUAUGAUUCUGCCUGCAUAUGUGUAGAUUAUGUGAAGAGGUCAAAGGAAAACAAAGAGAAGAAUGACAAGGAGGUAUGUGUGGCCUUCCUUCAAUUGUUUCUGUGGUAUCCCAUCAUGUCUAAUGGAAGAAGCCUUUUGCUUUUGUUAUGCAUUUCAGUGUUAAAUCAUGAGUCUUUUUUUCCAACUACUCACUUGGGUCCAUAUGGUCCUAAUUUCAUCGCUUCAGUUGCUUUACGCCUAUUGUCCCUUUGCUUUUCCAUUUUUCGUGAAAAACUUGAGGAAGUUUGACGUGUGCUGUGACUUUCUACCCUUUGUCGUAGUACAUGUUCCAGUUUGUUGGUUUUGCAGUAGAUGUCUCUGAUUUAAAUAGGGAACCUUGUGCCAUCUGCAAACCCAGACUACACUGUUAAAACACGAAUAUCAUACGGAGUACUAGUUUAAUUAUCAGGUGAAUUCAGCUGCAGCCUCUUUAGAAUGUUGUUAAUUUUAUCACUAUAAGUUCACUGGAGCAACAGAUUGAUCAACAAGAGCUUCUACGCCGUGGUUGCAAUUAACUAUGUUCUGCUGUUUUCUCAUAUGUUCCAG
rnacentral:lncRNA from 1 species